AACGUACGCUGGCGGCACGCCUAACACAUGCAAGUCGAACGAAGUAGCAAUACUUAGUGGCAGACGGGUGAGUAACAUGUGGGUAUCUGCCCUUUGGCCUGGAAUAACACGAGGAAACUUGUGCUAAUACCGGAUAAGUCUUUACGGAGAAAGCUUUAUGCACCAUUGGAUGAGCCCGCACUUGAUUAGUUUGUUGGUAGGGUAAUGGCCUACCAAGACUGUGAUCAAUAGCUGAUUUGAGAGGAUGAUCAGCCACAUUGGGACUGAGACACGGCCCAAACUCCUACGGGAGGCAGCAGUGGGGAAUCUUGCACAAUGGAGGAAACUCUGAUGCAGCGAUGCCGCGUGAGUGAAGAAGGCCCUUGGGUUGUAAAGCUCUUUCGUCGGGGAAGAAAAUGACUGUACCCGAAUAGGAAGGUCCGGCUAACUUCGUGCCAGCAGCCGCGGUAAUACGAAGGGACCUAGCGUAGUUCGGAAUUACUGGGCUUAAAGAGUUCGUAGGUGGUUGAAAAAGUUAGUGGUGAAAGCCCAGAGCUUAACUCUGGAACUGCCAUUAAAACUUUUCAGCUAGAGUAUGAUAGAGGAAAGCAGAAUUUCUAGUGUAGAGGUGAAAUUCGUAGAUAUUAGAAAGAAUACCAAUUGCGAAGGCAGCUUUCUGGAUCAUUACUGACACUGAGGAACGAAAGCAUGGGUAGCGAAGAGGAUUAGAUACCCUCGUAGUCCAUGCCGUAAACGAUGUGUGUUAGACGUUGGAAAUUUAUUUUCAGUGUCGCAGGGAAACCGAUAAACACACCGCCUGGGGAGUACGACCGCAAGGUUAAAACUCAAAUGAAUUGACGGGGACCCGCACAAGUAGUGGAGCAUGUGGUUUAAUUCGAAGAUACGCGCAGAACCUUACCAACACUUGACAUGUUCGUCGCGACUCUAAGAGAUUAGAGUUUUCGGUUCGGCCGGACGAAACACAGGUGCUGCAUGGCUGUCGUCAGCUCGUGUCGUGAGAUGUUGGGUUAAGUCCCGCAACGAGCGCAACCCUCACUUUUAGUUGCCAUCAUUAAGUUGGGCACUCUGAAAGAACUGCCAGUGAUAAGCUGGAGGAAGGUGGGGAUGACGUCAAGUCCUCAUGGCCCUUACGUGUUGGGCUACACACGUGCUACAAUGGUAUCUACAACAGGAAGCAAGACUGCGAAGUUAAGCAAAUCCCUAAAAGAUACCUCAGUUCGGAUUGCACUCUGCAACUCGAGUGCAUGAAGCUGGAAUUACUAGUAAUCGUGGAUCAGCGUGCCACGGUGAAUGCGUUCCCGGGUCU
rnacentral:rRNA from 1 species